rnacentral:rRNA from 1 species
UGGCUCAGGACGAACGCUGGCGGCGCGCCUAACACCUGCAAGUCGAACGGAGAUUACAGGCGGAAGUUUUCGGAUGGAAGCUUGUAAACUUAGUGGCGGACGGGUGAGUAACACCUGAGCAACCUGCCUAUCAGAGGGGGAUAACGAUUGGAAACGAUCGCUAAUACCGCAUGACAUAGCGGAACCGCAUGGUCCUGUUAUCAAAGAUUUUAUCGCUGAUAGAUGGGCUCGCGUCCGAUUAGAUAGUUGGUGGGGUAACGGCCUACCAAGUCGACGAUCGGUAGCCGGACUGAGAGGUCGAACGGCCACAUUGGGACUGAGACACGGCCCAGACUCCUACGGGAGGCAGCAGUGGGGGAUAUUGCACAAUGGGGGAAACCCUGAUGCAGCGACGCCGCGUGAGGGAAGACGGUCCUCUGGAUUGCAAACCUCUGUCUUCGGGGACGAAACGAGACGGUACCCGAGGAGGAAGCCACGGCUAACUACGUGCCAGCAGCCGCGGUAAUACGUAGGUGGCAAGCGUUGUCCGGAACUACUGGGUGUAAAGGGAGCGUAGGCGGGCAGGCAAGUCAGGCGUGAAAUAUAUCGGCUCAACCGGUAACGGCGCUUGAAACUGCAGGUCUUGAGUGAAGUAGAGGCUGGCGGAAUUCCUAGUGUAGCGGUGAAAUGCGUAGAUAUUAGGAGGAACACCAGUGGCGAAGGCGGCCAACUGGGCUUUUACUGACGCUGAGGCUCGAAAGUGUGGGGAGCAAACAGGAUUAGAUACCCUGGUAGUCCACACCGUAAACGAUGAUUACUAGGUGUGGGGGGACUGACCCCUUCCGUGCCGGAGUUAACGCAAUAAGUAAUCCACCUGGGGAGUACGGCCGCAAGGUAACGGGUCAAAGGAAUUGACGGA